rnacentral:rRNA from 1 species
GACGAAGGAUCCAAGCGUUAUCCGGAUUUAUUGGGUUUAAAGGGUGCGUAGGCGGAUUGAUAAGUCAGUGGUGAAAGCCUGCAGCUUAACUGCAGAACUGCCAUUGAUACUGUCAAUCUUGAAUAUGUUUGAUGUGGGCGGAAUAUGACAUGUAGCGGUGAAAUGCUUAGAUAUGUCAUAGAACACCGAUUGCGAAGGCAGCUCACAAAGCCAUUAUUGACGCUGAGGCACGAAAGCGUGGGGAGCGAACAGG